UACGUAGGGUGCAAGCGUUAAUCGGAAUUACUGGGCGUAAAGCGUGCGCAGGCGGUUGUGCAAGACAGAUGUGAAAUCCCCCGGGCUUAACCUGGGAAUGGCAUUUGUGACUGCACGGCUAGAGUGUGUCAGAGGGGGGUAGAAUUCCACGUGUAGCAGUGAAAUGCGUAGAUAUGUGGAGGAAUACCGAUGGCGAAGGCAGCCCCCUGGGAUAACACUGACGCUCAUGCACGAAAGCGUGGGGAGCAAACAGG
rnacentral:rRNA from 1 species